AGAUGACUUCAUCCAGAUUUAAGAAGUCAUUCAAGAGUGUUCAAAACCAAGGUCUUUUUGUUUUUAAUAUUAAACUAUUGAGUCCAUCUGGAAUGUAUAUUGACUACAAUUUGAGGGAGAUAUAAGCUAUGAUUUAUGCCUGUGAACCUCAUCCUUCUCUUGCCAAGGGGCCAGCGGGCAAGGAGAGGAACACCGUACUGACAGGAGCAGCUGAUCUUAUCAUCAGGUGAGCCAGUUUUUUAAAAGGUCACAGUGACAAAGAAUUUUCCAGAAAUGAAGAUAAGAAUUUAGACAGAGGAAGCAUAAGGUAUACUAAAUGGAAUAGAUAAAAAUGAAUCUAUAACUAUGCACCUUCCACUGAAGUUUUAGAACUCCAGAGACAAAGAGAAGCUCGCAAGAGCAGCAGCUCAAGAUAAACAGAUAUCCUCAAAAAUGAAAAACUGAACAAAGAAUAAAUGUCCCAGCAACAAUAGAAGCCAGAACACAGUGAAAUGAUAAAAUUAUCAACCUAGAAUUAUGCAACCACCCAAACUCUCUUUCAGUAACAAGGGUAAAAUAAAAACAUAUUUACACAAAUAAGAA